rnacentral:rRNA from 1 species
UACGGAGGGGACUAGCGUUGUCCGGAUUUAUUGGGCGUAAAGAGCUCGUAGGCGGUCUGUCGCGUCUGUUGUGAAAACUCGAGGCUCAACCUCGGGCUUGCAGUGGAUACGGGCAGACUAGAGUGCGGUAGGGGAGACUGGAAUUCCUGGUGUAGCGGUGGAAUGCGCAGAUAUCAGGAGGAACACCGAUGGCGAAGGCAGGUCUCUGGGCCGCAACUGACGCUGAGGAGCGAAAGCAUGGGGAGCGAACAGG